rnacentral:lncRNA from 1 species
GAAUCCCAUAAAAUAUUUACAGAUUCAUCUUUCCACCGCCUCCCCCCCCUUUAUUUCUCUCUGUCUCUCUCUUCUCAAGCUCCACCACCAUUACCAGUUUACCACCACCUACAAAAAUUUCCAAAACCCCGAAUCCCACAAAAUUUUUACAGAUUCAUCUUACUUCCAAAUUUGCUCCAAUUCUUCUUGUUGUACUCCCAAUCUGAAGAUUAUGAUCAAUCCCAAUGAAAUUACGAGUCUUACAAUCACAACCCUCAAGAAACCUCAACUAAUUAUGAUGGGUUGCACUAGCAGAAGUGAUGGAAUGAGGAUGGCAACCGGUGGGAGAAAGAAGAAAUCAUGUGGGUGAUUUUGUUGUCUGACUCGCGAGUUGACUCGGCCAAACUCGGUAAGUUUUACUGAUUUCUUAUUGAUUUGAGUUGACUCGGUAAAUAUCGACCGAGUCAAUCCGAGUCAACUCGGAUUCCGGUGAAACGGCGAUGCGGGUGUCGGUAUCGUACCGGUGAGCCCCGUUCCGGUUAUGACUCGGCCGAGUCCGAGUUGACUCGGCCGAUUUGGCGAACCAUGGAUAGAGUUGCACAACUGUAGUGAAUCUGCAAAAAUUUCUGCUACAAGUAUUGAAGUUGAAAGCCUUGAUGUUGUCAUCAAAAGCGAUAGGCAAGUCUUUAUUUGCAUUUAGAAUCACUUUGAUUGAAACUUGAAGUUUAUGAAGUUUAUAUUGACGCACCAUUCCUGCACUUGCAUUUCCUGACAUUGUAUGGAUUGCCUGUGUCUGUGAUGCCUCCAAAAUCAUGUCACAGAUUUCAGCACUCAGCAUAAAGGGAAGCUUUGAGCUGCGGCUUGCAAUUUCAAUUUCCCAACUGAUCUGGAAUUGCUUCUUGUCAUCCAUCUUGCUGAGGCUAUUUGUAAAUGCUGCAUAAGAGAGUGGAAGGCCAGCCCCUGCCCCAUCGGAUGAAAGCGUUUCAAGGUCUUGGCAUGUACCUCAUUUAUUUUAUCUUGAAAUUGAUCUGAGAUUUUCUCCUAGUCCUAGGUAAUGAUUGAGCAGGUAGCUACUAAUACAUCUUGUUGAAUGUGAAUGGACAAGAAUCAAAUGAAUCCCAUUUGGUUCGGAAUGCUUAUAUUUUUGACAUUGAAUAAACACUAUCCCUUAGUUCUUGUGGUACCUCCCAAGUGAACUGAUAUCAAUUUUUACUUGUUUUAUU